ensembl:snoRNA SNORA70 Small nucleolar RNA SNORA70
CUGCAGUUUAUUAAGCCGACUAGACUUGCUGUGGUGCAUUUCUGGUGUGCAAAGGCUGCGGACAUAAAAUCUUUGGUGAGUGUAUGUUCUCAGCUGUGAGGUGCUGAGUUCUCUAAGGGAUCAUUGAGACAUGU